rnacentral:rRNA from 1 species
GCUGGAAUGAAUGGUUGGACGAGGCAUAGACUGUUUCAAUUUAAUUUUUUAUAGAAUUUUAUUUUUUAGUUAAAAAGCUAAAAUUAUUUUAAAAGACGAGAAGACCCUAUAAAUCUUUAUAAUUAAAUUAUUUUUGUUUUAUGGAUGUUUUUUAUAUUAAUAAUUUUGGUUAUUUUAUUGGGGUGAUAUUAAAAUUUAUUAAACUUUUAAUAAUUUUUUACAUUGAUUAAUGAGUAUUUGAUCCGUUAAUGACGAUUAUAAGAUUAAGUUACUUUAGGGAUAACAGCGUAAUUUUUUUGGAGAGUUCAUAUCGAUAAAAAAGAUUGCGACCUCGAUGUUGGAUUAAGAUAUAAUUUUGGGUGCAGUCAUUCAAAUUUCAAGUCUGUUCGACUUUUAAAUUCUUACAUGAUCUGAGUUCAGACCGGCGUGAGCCAGGUUGGUUUCUAUCUUUAAAUUUUUAAAAUAUUUUAGUACGAAAGGAUUGAAUAUUUGAAUUAUUAAUUUUAUUUGUUGAAUAUUAUUAAUUACUAUUUU